rnacentral:lncRNA from 1 species
AUGGCAAGUGAGGUGAGCGGUCACUUCGGGGCAGAACGCGGAGGGGGCGGCGUGAUGCCUCUGACCCGCCCACGACGGCUGUCGGUUGGGAUAUUCAAGAUGGCCACACUUCAAGAUGGAGGCCGGAUGAGGCCUCCUCAUCAAGAUGGCCACCACUCGGGCUCAUCCCUCCUGCUAUCCCCCUCUCCAACCUCUGCCGAAAUUCUUCAUUCCACGAACUGGGAAGGCGCUGCGUCAGAAAGCGGUCAGACCACAAUCUUCCAAGGAAUCGGUGGGCUCCAGGAAGCUGCCCAUCCGUUUUCCCCGCGGAAUUCUUUCAGGACAGCGUGGAAAAUAUGUCAUUUAAUAAUAACGUUGGUAAUAAUAACGUUGGCCACCUGGAUGUCGGCCCGCCACCUAAAACUCAACAUGAGCAAGACUGAGCUCCUCAUCUUCCCUCCCAAGCCCGGUCCGCUCCCAGACUUCUCCAUCACCGUGGAUGGCACGACCAUCCUUCCCGUCCCGCAGGCCCGCAAUCUCGGUGUCAUCCUUGACUCGUCCCUCUCGUUCGCCCCACACAUCCUAUCCGUUACCAAGACCUGCCGGUUUCACCUCUACAAUAUCGCCAAGAUCCACCCUUUCCUCUCCACCCAAACGGCUACCUUACUAUUACGGGCUCUCGUUAUAUCCCGGCUAGACUACUGUGUCAGCCUUCUCUCUGACCUCCCUUCCUCCUCUCUCGCCCCGCUCCGGUCUAUUCUUCACUCCGCUGCCCGGCUCAUCUUCCUGCAGAAACGAUCUGGGCAUGUCACUCCCCUUCUUAAACAACUCCAGUGGUUGCCUAUCGACCUCCGCUCCAAACAAAAACUCCUCACUCUAGGCUUCAAGGCUCUCCAUCACCUUGCCCCUUCCUACCUCUCCUCCCUUCUCUCUUUCUACCGCCCACCCCGCACGCUCCGCUCCUCUGCCGCCCACCUCCUCGCCGUCCCUCGGUCUCGCCUAUCCCGCCGUCGACCCCUGGGUCACGUCCUCCCGCGGUCCUGGAACGCC